rnacentral:rRNA from 1 species
AUUGAACGCUGGCGGCAGGCCUAACACAUGCAAGUCGAGCGAGCGGCGGACGGGGGAGUAAUGUCUGGGGAACUGCCUGAUGGCGGGGGAUAACUACUGGAAAAGGUAGCUAAUACCGCAUACCAUCAGAUGUGCCCAGAUGGGAUUAGCUAGUAGGUGGGGUAACGGCUCACCUAGGCGACGAUCCCUAGCUGUUCUGAGAGGAUGACCAACCACACUGGAACUGAGACACGGUCCAGACUCCUACGGGAGGCAGCAGUGGGGAAUAUUGCAAAAUGGGCGCAAGCCUGAUGCAGCCAUGCCGCGUGUGUGAAGAAGGCCUUCGGGUUGUAAAGCACUUUCAGCGGGGAGGCGUUACCCGCAGAAGAAGCACCGGCUAACUCCGUGCCAGCAGCCGCGGUAAUUC